ensembl:lncRNA
AAAAAAACAGUGCGCUCAUGUACCCAAACUGUGAUUUAAAGGGUUAAAACAAUGAAAAUAUAAUUAAAACUUGAUAUGAAUAUUUUAAGCAGAAGUAGUUUUAAAAAACUGACUCAUUUAAAGUGGAAAAAAAUAUUAAUAUAUAACAUUUUUAGAGCACUUAUUGGAGAGGGAACAUUUUUGGUCCCGAGGGUCAUGAAAGGAUGGAUUUUUGAAGUGCCCCCAAGUUAAGCAAAUAUGUAGGACUGCUUUCUUGCAUUUACGCAACAUCCCUUUAAUUAAAAACAUUCUUGCUCAGAGUGAUGCUGAGAAAUUACUUCAUGCAUUUAUUACUUCUAGGCUGGACUAUUGUAAUUAAUUUGAUGCGGAGACUCCAGCAACACUACACAAGCAAAAGUAAUGAGAAACAACUUUAUUCAGUGACCAACUGAAUAAAGCCGAAACGUGACCAACACGUUUCGGCUUGUGGCCUUCAUCAAGGUCAUUGUAAAAUGUAAAACAGUUUGUGUUUAAAUAAAAGCCAGGAAACAGAUUUUUUUUUUUUUUUUUUAAAUAGACCAAUCACACCUUCACAAAAGAGGUGUUGUCCGAUGGGGAGAUUUCUCCAAAGGAAAAAACAUUUUUGCUCAAUGAACAUUCCUUAAGGGCUUUCUUAUAUAUAUUACCGAAAAUCCAUAAAAACCUAGAAGAACCGCCUGGCAGAUUCAUUGUUUCUGGAAUUGGAAGUUUAACUGAGAGAAUAUCAAGUUUUGCAGACUUCCACAUCAAGAUUUUUGUACCAACUUUGAACUCUAACAAAAAGGAUAGCUCUAACGUUUUGCUUUUCCUCAAAGACUUCCCAUCAUUUGAUACAGAUAUGAUAUUGUGCACUUUUGAUAUUGAAUCUUUCUAUACUAGGACUGGGCGAUAUAUCGAGGUUUUUAAAAAUAUCGAUAUAUUUUUAUACGAGAUAUGAGAUGUGACAAUAUCGUUUAUAUCGAUAUAGUAUAUGUUACAUCCCUGAGCAGUUAUGAAUUAUAUUAUUAUAUGUAUAGGUGAUACUGUGCUGCUGUUCUGUGUCCACAUUUCUGUAUAGGCAGGUAUGUGUGUGUAUAUAUGUGUUUGGCUGUAAGAUGGAUGUCAAGCACCUGCAGGCCUGGUGGGUGUGGCCCUGCUAGGGGACUGGCCACACCCGAAGCUCCUGCCACACACCUGCUGCUGAUCAAGGCUCGUCGGGGGAGCUACAUAGGAGAGUCUUGGAGCUCCCACCGGCGCGGGAUCAUUGCGUUAGACUCCACGAGAAGUGUGGAGUGCCAGACAGCAGCCAGCACGAGGAGUGCUGAGACAUGGGAGCGGAGAGCACUGAGACAAGGACUGUUCACGGAGAGACACGACAUAGAAGUCAGGGGAAAGCACGGGGGAUUUAUUGUUAUUAUUCCAUUCACUGUAAAUAAACGCACUGCUUGUACUUAGAGCACCGCACCUGGGUCCUUUUUCCUCACUUCCCCACGGUUUGCCCUACCAAACCGUGACAUUAUGUUAUAAUUAUACUUGUUUGCCUCUCUUUUGUCCACUUUUGUCCCUACGCAACUGAACACAAGUCCCCCUCCCCCCAUCGCUUCACCUGCAGGCAACGACAAGAUGGACAUGGCAAAUCUCCAUUAACGAGUUACCGCGCAUCACCCCAUGCGUGGGGCUGGAUGGCGUCAACGUGUUAACGA